CUCCCUCUGAGGCCCCCAGACCCACCCCUUCCCGGCUGAGGCACCCCCCCCAACCCUGGGCUCGGGCUCAGACCCACCGGCAGCUCCUGCCCCCCGAUCCCGCCCCCACACCCGAACUCACUCUGCAGAAGCACAAGUUUCCAGAGCAGGACCCAGGCCCGCAGCUCCAUGGCGCCUGCCUGGCCCGCCUGGCCCGCCGGCGCUUUGUCUCACUGAGGCUCUAACUCUCCAGAAAAACAGCCCGGCCCCCCUCCCCCUCCCCCUCCACAGCACCCGCUGUGACAUCACGGAGCAGACCGCCCCCCUCCGCUCCUGCCCGGCCCCUUGGCCUCCCCGCCUUCCCCCGGUCCUUGGCCGGCCUGGUGGGAGGUGUCAGGUCUUGGCCACUGUGUUCCCAAGGGUGAGGGGAGUCACUCUGGCUUGGGUCCUGGAGAAGGUGGCAGUAGCCCAGCCCAGAAGGGGCAGGGGGGCCUGAGGGUAUGGCCCCAGAUGCCUUGUGGGUGUCUGUGACAUACAUACGGAGCCCUUCUGGGGCCACUGCAGGUCUGGGGUUCUGGGGGGAGCACCUCCUCACCAGCACCUCUGUAAGGGAACACUGGCCAAGGCAUCCCCCCACUGCAGGCCAGCAGAAAGGCAUCCUGGGCCCGACCCCAAGGACCCCAGGCUGCCAGACCACCAGGUCUUCCCGUUGGCCCUGUGGUGACCCUUCGCCUCUGGGGGCUGCAUUUCCUCAACUGUGAGGUGGGGAUAAGAGUCGCACGGGCCCUGGGGAGGCAGGGGUCCCCUUCCGGAGAGCAUGAGGGCACUGCUGUUCAUCAGUCAUCUUCAGCCAGCCAGGGGGAUGAGGGGUGAGGCGCCUGAGAGCUGAGCGGGGAGCCGGUGACCCCCUGUCCUGGUGCCCCACCCCAUCUGCUCACCAUCAAGAGCAGAAACACCACCCAGACCCGGGUACGGUGCUCCCAGGAUCACCCCCCGCCCCUCCCAGAGGGGAGGAAAUGAAGGAGGGUAUGGGAGACUUCCCAACAGAAAGCACAAAUUUGAAGCUCUGGGAAAACUUACAAAGUCACGUAAACAAAUGUGAAAUAACAGAGCAUGCACCGUGUAUCAAACCCACUCUUUCUAGUUAAGCAAACCUCAAAAAAAAAAAAAGAAAAAAAAUCCACCAAACUACCACAAAAACCCACGGUGCAUUUUUGGACUGCCCAUUUGGACUGAAUUAUGGUCACAGGCCCCAGGCCCUGGUGGGCUGGAGUCUCACUCUUGAACCCUGCCCUGGUCCCCAAGUCCUCAGACAAGCAAGGAGCCCAGCCCAGCCAGACUCUUGGGCUCCGGGCAAGGGGAGGAGGCUGCAGCUACUGCAGCAAGAGGGAAUGAGGGUUGACAACAGGUAGGACCGGCUGGGAGGACACAGGGCUGUGAGGACGCCCCACCCCCAACCUAACGGACCCAUUUCCUCAGCAGGAUCCAGGCCCUGGGAGGCGGAGCCCCCUUUCCAAACUGGAAUCAGGACUUGUCUCCUCACCCCACCCCCGGCUCCUCAAGGGCCUUUCAUUCUGGAUAAACAAGCCCUGCCUGGCUGGCCUUGAGGCCUGGCCUCUCCUCCUGUUUUUCUAACUGGUUUAUAUUAGCGCUGGUGGCCUCCUUCCCAGCCCUCCUCCCUCCUCUGCGCCCCCGCCCUUGUCUGUCUCUCUCCAUAGGCCUCGACCGCUCUAUUGCUCCAUCUCGGGCCUCUGUUCCUGCCUCUGGCGGCCAGGCUGUCUCUCCUCCACAGAGGGAAGGUGUCCAGGCAGGGCUGAAGGGAGGCAGAGACGGCCCAGGUCCGGCCCCUCAGUCUGCAAGGGGAGUGGGGUCAGCUCCCAGCGCUGAGCUAGGAGCCUGGAAGCACCCGGGCCACACCCUAAACUCCCUGCAGAGCCCUCCCUGUCUCAGCCCUGCGUGGAGGUCGGUGGAUUCCUGGCAUCGCAGAUCCAGCCCUCGGCUCAGCCCCAGUGCAGAAGUCUGAAGGAGGAAGCACACUCCUGGCACCCCUGGGCAAGGAUGGACAGGGCAGGGGAAGGCUGCAAACCCCUCCUCCCUGCCCCAUCCUGUUCCCUCUGCUUGAGCCCACCUCCCCGGUCCUUGGCAGGAAAUAGCCGCAGAUGAGAACAGAGGCCCAGGAGAGAACAGACCGGAACUAAACGGCCACCGCAACAUCACUGUGGUCCUCCUGAGCUCCAGCCCAGCCCCAGCCGGACCAGAGCCCUGGACCCACAUCCCCUCUCCUAGGAGUCCAGGCCAGACGAGGCGGGUCAGCCAGCGGGCCCCACUGAGACCGAGACUCAGACUCCGGCUCCAGUCCUGGGGACCCGGACAUUCCAGGCAGCCAGGGUCACUGGGAGGAGAAACCACAGGCACUCAGAGGCACAACCAGACACACGGACACGUGUUCACACAUGCUGUCGUUCAGCAAACGCUGCGCACCUACUGUGUGCCCGGCACUGGGAUUCAGCACUGCACCGGAUGCCGAGCUCCUGCCCUCUUGGAGCUGUUAGACGGCAGGCAGCCUGCAGACCCAGGUGCUGAUGAAUGAGGUCAUGUUAAACACGGCGAGAUUAAAGCAGGUAAGGGGCUCCCUCCGCCAGACCAACCAGGACAGCCUCUCGGGGACCCACACCCACAAGUGAAUAGCUAGGCUGGGGCCCAGGAAGCUGCCUGCCGGGUAAGGGAGAGCGUGCUGGGCUCUCACGUGAACUACGAUGAGGCCUAAGGGAGUUUACGUGCGGGAGAGAUGUGGUCUGGUGAUGCAGGAAACGCCAAGAUGGUUAGUUUAGAGCUGUCAGGAUUUAGACGAACACACCAGGGAAAUGGACAGAGUUCUGAGAUGCUCCCCAGGGCACCCAGCCCGUUUCCUCCCCAAGAGUGUGACCAACCUCGGCGGGAUAGCCCUUCGCACCCACGUGACAGACGUGACUGCAAGUUGCUCCCCGAGGCAGAGUAUGCAUCUAGGCGGCUGAAAAGCCUCAGCUUCUCUCGCCCCGCUGGGCUGUGAAAGGGCCCAUGCGGUUGACCAAGUGCAAAACCCUGAGGCCCCAGCCACCACCACCCCACACCCCCGCCCCCGCAAGAAGAAAAUGGAUCUCAGUCCUACAACCGCAAGGAACUGGAACGAAUUAUGCCACCCACCAGAUUAGCCUGGAAGAGGACCCCAGGUCUCGUAGAAGCACCAGGUCACUUGUGAGUGUGUUGGUCCUUCUUCUGGGGACAUGGUGGCCUGCCCGGUGCCGGGGCUCACCCGGUGAGGCAGGAGCUCUGCAGGCCCCGUGUCCGAAGAGCCGGGUGUCCCGUGGAGGCUCUCUUCUCCUUCCGGUGGAGACCACAGGUCAGACAGAGGCUGGGAGAUCAUCAGUCCACUGAGACGCUGAUUCGAAAAUACAGACGAGAAAAUCUGGAAAUAUAGAUCCAUUAUUUCAUGGGCCAGCCCUUUUAUCCUGAGAAAAUGUCAGGGAGCCAAGAUCAAGGAUUUUAGCGGUCAUGGUCAAACCCACAUCAGUGGUUUCCUGCGUGGCAUUAACAGGGUUCAGGCACCCCUCACUGUACUGCGCUUCACAGACCCUGCCCUUUUUACAAACUGAAGUUUUGGGGUGACCCUGUGUCAGGCAAGUCUAUCAGUGCCAUUUUCCCAACAGCGUUUGCUCACUUCAUGUCUCUGUGUCACACUUUGGUAGUUCUCACAUUAUGUCAAACCUUCCACCAGCAAAAAAUUCUGACUCGCUGAAGCCUCAGAUGAUGGUUAGCAUUUCUUAGAGACAAAGUAGUUUUAAAUUAAGGCAUGUAAAAUUUAAAAAAAAAAUUAUGGGACUUCCCUGGUAGUGCAGUGGUUAAGAAUCCACCUGCCAACGCAGGGGACACGGGUUCGAGCCCUGGUCCGGGACGAUCCCACAUGCCGCAGAGCAACUAAGCCCGUGCGCCACAACUACUGAGCCUGCUCUCUAGAGCCCGCGAGCCACAACUACUGAGCCCGCGUUCCACAACUGUUGCCACAACUGUUGAAGCCCGCGCGCCUAGAGCCCGAGCUCCACAACAAGAGAAGCCACCGCAAUGAGAAGCCCGCGCACCGCAACGAAGAGUAGCCCCCGCUCGCUGCAACUAGAGAAAGCCCACGCGCAGCAACGAAGACCCAACGCGGCCAAAAAUAAACAAAUAAAUUUUUUAAAAAAUUAAGGCAUGUACGUUUUUUAGACAUAAUGCUAUGGCACACUUAAUAGCCUACAGUUUAAACAUAACUUUUAUACACGCUGGGAAACCAAAAAGUUUGUGUGCCUCGCAUGACUGCGGUGGCCUGGAACCGAGCCCGCAGCGCCUCUGAGGCCUGCCUGCGUCCCCUCUGCUUGGCUCAUUCCGUUCGUGAAGGUGCAGGGGCGCCGGCCGGCUUGUAUGGGUCAUAGACUCGAACCAUGACCUCAGGCUCCAAGGUUGGCCUCUGUAUUUUCUUCUCUCCCAUCACGCCAGAAGUGUUUCCUUAUCGUCCUUAACGAUUCAUCAGUUUUGCAGCCAGGAAUCAAGGACCACAGACUGACUCCUAGCAGAUUUCACCCGUGGUGCCUUCACUGCGGGAGCUGUCACAAAGUCCCCAGGUCCAGCUGGUUGCUGGCGCCUCGGGCAGGCCAGGGCUGACAAGCUUAGAGCAGCCAUCAGGCCGGCUUCCUGGGGGCCGCGAGCGCUGCUUCCACGUGGACGGGCGCCCUGGGUCCCUGGCGCCUCACCAAGGAGACUUACCUUUAAAUGCGAUGCUUCAGCGAGGGAACCCCUUCACCACAGGCUCUGGCGACACCGAGGCUCCUUUCAGCAGCUCUGCUUUAUGAAGAGGGGCUCGAGCUCCCCACAGAGGCUGUGGGGGAAGCCACGGGAGGGAGGGAGGUCCGUGGUGUCCUGCCCACAACACAGUCCCUCAGCCUCCCCGAGGCCUUGACCCGGCCUCCCUGCGGCCCUCGGCACGGCCACCAACGCCCCUCGGCCCUGCAGCCUGGAGGGUGCCCACCUGCCCUGCCCGCCAGCCUGCCAGCCCAAGGACUCCUCUGCUGUCGGGGUUAGGGGGGUGGGAGGAGUGGGGGUGAACCAACCACCAGACUCCCCGAGCUUCCCGGUCCCAACUGGACCCAGGGCCACCCCUCGGGUACCACCGUCCUGAGCGGUUUCCUUCCAUCACUUCCCACAGAAUUUUCAGUUUUUCUGAAGAAUCACUGGCUUUACACCUGUA